GUGCGCAUCAUGAACGCUCCGAGGAGAGCUCCAGUUCUGUAUUCCUGCAGGGGACACAGGUGUGGUUGAUCUACGUCUAUUCACCAGGUUUGGUAUGUCCAUUCUAAAAAGUUCGCUGAACGGGCUCGGAGGCGCUUUGCGGUACCCUCGUGCGCGUCUCUGCGUGAACGACGUCAGUGCCUCUGCGAGGCAGGCAGGGCACGGAGACGGCGACUGGGUGCGCUAACCUUGCAGCUCGAAGCGUUUCUGGUAGGGCAGUAACCGCUGAUAUCGUCUUUCUGGCGACCGACGCGAUGCGUGCUGUACUGGGUCCGUGUUGGCGCGCACGAAGAGCCGCCAUAGCCACAGUAGGGUCGCGUCCGCCAGCGAGUUAACGAGCGUACGUUCCCUCCCAGAUAUGCCCGCCCAACGCCGCUGGACUGAAUGCGCGUUUUGCAUGCCGCUAACGGUGUUCGGCGCUCAAUCCCGAUGCUCCAUAGAGUUGUUCGAGGCUGAGCAGCUGCACAUGGAUCCCCUACGCCGACUCGUAUGCGAGACGCAUGCGCAUGCCGAACCUACCCCCGCUCGAUGCAACCAACGACACGUCGACGCGACCCGCCGAGUCGUACCAGCGACAUGCACAUGUCGGAACAGCUCGCUCCGCAUCCUUGAUGACGUGCCUCUGAGCGCUUGCCGUCCACGACGAAGCAAAGCAAGCAGCAACGCCAUACACGCACUCCGAACGUGGCAUCCCAACGAGCGGGCGGUGCUUAGCGGCUACGCUCCCGUCCGAUUCGAAGCAACCGCAUCCUGAUGUGGCGUUUCCGCUGGCGCAGCGUUUCGUCCACACUGAUCCAGGUCCAGUUCGUUGUCCGGCUUCUGUGCAAGCGACCAGCGUGCCGCCCCGUCGGCAGGUCGUACAUGCUUCGCCAGCGCCAGGAUCGCCUGUUGGCGCAGCGCCUUUCGACGUGCACCCUGCACAAUAUCCCCGAUCACCACAACGAUCUGUGUUCGCUGUGCUUCGGACGGGACGGACGCACCCAGAAGGCGACAGUACGCGCUUGCUUGACUCGAAUAUGGUGCACGUCGAAGUUCAUCAAUCGCCAAUUCGAUGAUCCUCUCGGGGAGUCGCGCCGCCAAGCGUUCUGCAUGCGUGCAGAACUGGCUCAACGAGUAGGCGGCAGCUGCUCGAACAUGGACAUUUGGAUCUUCUUCGAGUCGCUUCAGUAGAAGAUCCAUCGCACGCCCUUUCAAUGCAUUCCAGUCGUUAUCGAGAAUGAUCGUAGGUUCUGUUUGAGGGAUGAACGCGCCUGGAUCCGCCGCGAGCCGCCCUAAUGCGGUACACGCAGCGGCGCGCAUCGAUGCAAUGGGGUCAGCGGUUAACGCCUCGAGCUCUCGAAAGAGCGGCGUGCCUGCGGCUCCAAUUCCAGGCUGACUCAAACAGGCGAUGGCAACCACACGUACCGCGUGGAAGGGAUCCUUCAACAUGCGGAACAGGAGUGCGUUACGCGAACUUGCGAUCGAUGGCCGCGAGCGCAACAGCAAGCGCAAGAGACGGGCGCUUUGUAGUCGCAGCGCUGGACUCGUCGAUGCACUUCGAAAAUGAUGCUCGACCAUCGCAAGUACCAGUUCGUCGACGGCAGUGCUGUCGGGUGCGGAUUCUUGGACCCUGCUCAGAUGACGCAUGCGUAGUGUUAGCAUGGCUUCCACGAACGAAACCACGUGCGCAUCAUUCCAGCGCAGCGGAUUCGCUAAAAGCUGCUCCAGCGGCGGUAUGGUUUGUAGACGAUCAUGAAUACUUUUCAGACAGGAGAUGGCCGCUGCUCGAAGCGUUUCAAGCUCUGGCCCAAGUGAAAGCGCGUACUGGUCCCAGAGCAGGUUCCCGGCGGUCUUGAGCUGUGCGCUCGGGAGACAGCGUGAUGGCGUAUUCUGCACCACGACCCCGAGGCAGCGCAUGAGCUGACAGGUCGAGGUGCUGGAAUCCACACCUCCCCUGCUGACUAUACCGGUCAAUGCAGUUGCAGCUUGGGUCAGCUGCGCCUGCAUCGUUUCGACCAGUGUAUCGUAGACCAGUUGAAGAUGCAACCGAUACCGUUCCGACAUGGGCACAAACGUCUGCUGUCGAGCGCUCUUCAUGGUGCUGGUUGCGUUUGGUGCUCCUUCCAUGCGUGUCGCACGUCGUGGCGCCUUGAGUACCAUCCCACAGAGCGGGUACAGGAAACGCUGCGCCCCGUCGAAAAGGAAGCACAGCAGCGAGCAGGAAGCAGCGCGUCCGUUUCGCACUCCCUGACAUAGGGUCGGCGUCCAGCGAUACCACAGGGCAGCGUGUUUCUUCAGCCAGAGUGUCUCGAGGGCGUGUGCUGCGUCUCUGGGUGUUGGUUCGUUCGGGGUCCGCUGGCGCGGCACUGAGCGUCGAAGGACGUUCAGUUGCUUCUGCGCUGUUUCCUGAGCAUCAGACUCGAGAAGGUGCUCCCAAGCACUCACACUAUGGAGGAACGCGUCGAAACUGGUUACUUGUGCACUUUCGGGGGCCAUACGCGCUGGAUGAGUCCCGUUUGUAAGUGCUCGCUCCGCAGCCGUAAACCUGGGACGGGACCCAAAAGUAAGCAGUCUGAUGAAUUGCACAAAGGAACCUGAACGCUUUCGUCAAGUUUAACCAGUCUACUUUCGUUUAGUAGCGGUAAAGCUUCGUC
rnacentral:misc_RNA from 1 species